UAGCCUAGUGGUUAAGGCUUUGGAUCGCCAAUCCGGAGACGGUGGGUUCGAUUCCCGU
rfam:Aedes albopictus isolate Foshan contig107393, whole genome shotgun sequence.